GCUCUGGGGGCCUAGUGGUUAGUGCGUCCGCCUCGGAUACGGAAGGGCGCGGGUUCGAACCCUGGCCGAGUA